rnacentral:lncRNA from 1 species
UGCAGAUGAUUAAGGGAUUGAUGGUCGGAACCUCUGGUUUCAAGUUCGAAGCUUAGUUAUUUUACAUGGUUAGAGGAGUUUAUUUUUUAAAAAAAAUUGGGUUAAAUUGUAAAAAUUUAUAUUAUAAAUACCCGUUUUUUGACUUUCUCUUCUUAAUUUUUAAAAAUCUAUAUUUUAUCCCCUCAACAUUUUAAGUUAUUGCAUUUAGUCUUCCUUCGUCACUGUUCUAUUAUUAUUUUGUCCAUUUUUAUUAUUUGUACUGAAAAUAUUCUUUAAAAUGACAGAAAUAUAUUAAUAAAUUAUUUUUUUAAAAUAAAAAGUAAGGAUAAUUUGAUCAUUUUGCUAACACCAUUAAUG